rnacentral:rRNA from 1 species
UUUCGCAAUGCCCGAAAGGGUGACGAAGCGACGCCGCGUGUGGGAAGAAGGCCUUCGGGUUGUAAACCACUGUCGGGAGUUAAGAAAUGUAAGGAUGUUAAUAGCGUCCUUACUUGACUAAGGCUCCGGAGGAAGCCACGGCUAACUCUGUGCCAGCAGCCGCGGUAAUACAGAGGUGGCAAGCGUUGUUCGGAAUUAUUGGGCGUAAAGAGCACGUAGGCGGCCUUGAAAGUCAGUUGUGAAAGCCUUCCGCUUAACGGAAGAACAGCAGCUGAUACUACAGGGCUUGAGUGCGGGAGGGGAGAGUGGAACUUCUGGUGGAGCGGUGAAAUGCGUAGAUAUCAGAAGGAACGCCGGCGGCGAAAGCGGCUCUCUGGCCCGUAACUGACGCUGAGUGCGCGAAAGCUAGGGGAUCAAACGGGAUUAGAUACCCCGGUAGUCCUAGCCGUAAACGAUGGGCACUAAGUAGAGGGGUUUUA